GCUCUGGCUAUAGCUCAGUGAGCAGAGCAUGAGACUCUUAAUUCUCAAGGUUGUGGGUUCAAGCCCCACAUUGGGCA